rnacentral:lncRNA from 1 species
UCAAAGUUCACUUUCACACCCUCACAUUAAUAUGCUUCUUUUCUUCAUAAACCAUAGUAAAUCAAAGCCAUAACAAAGAAGCCAAAACAAAAAGAAGAAGAAAAAAUCUCAUCUCUCUCUCUGUAUGGACUUCAACCUGAAGCAAUGGAGAAACCAUCAGCAUGAGUCAGAAGAACCCUAGGUGAAAAUGAGAGGAAGAUGAAGGGGAAGGGUUUGGAAAAGGGUCUGGAAAGU